GACGAACGCUGGCGGCGUGCUUAACACAUGCAAGUCGAACGGAAAGGCCCUGCUUUUGUGGGGUGCUCGAGUGGCGAACGGGUGAGUAACACGUGAGUAACCUGCCCUUGACUUUGGGAUAACUUCAGGAAACUGGGGCUACUACCGGAUAGGAGCUCCUGCUGCAUGGUGGGGGUUGGAAAGUUUCGGCGGUUGGGGAUGGACUCGCGGCUUAUCAGCUUGUUGGUGGGGUAGUGGCUUACCAAGGCUUUGACGGAUAGCCGGCCUGAGAGGGUGACCGGCCACAUUGGUACUGAGAUACGGCCCAGACGCCUACGGGAGGCAGCAGGGGGGAAUAUGGCACAAUGGGCGGAAGCCUGAUGCAGCAACGCCGCGGGCGGGAUGACGGCCUUCGGGUUGUAAACCGCUUUCGCCUGUGACGAAGCGUGAGUGACGGUAAUGGGUAAAGAAGCACCGGCUAACUACGUG
rnacentral:rRNA from 1 species